GCCUAUUGCUCAGUACCAACGUGUACCCGAUACCGGGGCUCAUGGAGGACAUGCAGCUCGCCAAGCUCAGGGGGAACGUGCACCUGAUGGUCCUAAACCCCUGCGUCGACACCUCGGAGCCAUGUCCCCUGACGGGGACCCAGAGCUGGCACUCUGCUCUGGCCGCCUUCUACUCCGCCACUGGCAACCUGGCGCACGUCGUCAUGGCCGUCCAGUUUCCGG